rnacentral:tRNA from 1 species
UCCCUAGUGGCUCAGCUGGUAAAGAAUCCGCCUGCAAUGCGGGAGACCUGGGUUCGAUUUCUGGCUUGGGAA